CAUUGGCAUACAUGGCGGCGGUGGGCAAGCUGGCUAAGGCCAGGUUAGUGAUCCAGCGAGGUUGAGGUCUCGGGAUCGAGCCCACCUGUGACCGG